CUGCCCCUUGGCCAAUGUCUCAAGAAAACCACUCACCAAUUGUUUCUGUAAGUGGUGGCAAGUGUCAAAAGCGGGGGACAGUUUGCUCAGGUUUUCAGAUGAGGAGGCGUAGUCACUAGCUCCAAAGAGGCUUUGUCUAAGACCACAGGCUCUGGGCACAGUGCUCUGCUCCGUCCGCACCAUCUGGGGACAUGUAACUGUUAGAACAGCUCUUCUCACCCUGUGUCAGCAAGGCCAGGAUUACGUUGUGGGGCUGAGGCUGGAACCUCAGAACAAGCACACGUGGUGGCAUUGGGGAUGUAACCUCAUGCAUCCUGGGGGUAUAAAGCCGUAUCUCUGCCCACCUGAAUAUCUCAGAAGCUUACAGGUUCAGGAAGGGAGCGGGAUGCUCCUACAGCCAGGAGGACUGAGCUGGAACUGGGGGAGUCUGCGGCUCACAAUGGAUGCUGUCUUUUCCCAGUAUUUAGUGAAGAAACUUGAGACUUGAAAGAGGUGGUGGCGGGAUUUGAACCGAGUUCUGUAGGUGCCUGGAAAUAUGUUAGUGGGGCCGAGUACACUUCCUCAGGCCUAGCUCCUGAUGAAUGAUGUAAUGCCCCUGCCCCAUCCAUCCAUCCAUCCAUCCACCCAUCUAUUUAUUUAUUUUUUCCAAGUGCCCCAGGACCAGAGUUCUCCAGAGCUCCUGUGGAGGCAAAUAUCAUUCUUGGUUCCAUACAUUCAUAGUCAUUCUUAGCGCUGUGACAUAGAAGAUAGCUCUAAGGACCAGCCUGGGAAUCAGAGUGGGAAUAGAAGUGGGUGGUGGACUAGGAAAUCAGGUCCCUCUUUUGGGCUUGGUAUUCCCCCCUCCCCCAUCCCUUCCCCAGCCACCACUAAAGGUGAAGUUCUUUUCAGUGGGAAUGAUGAAGUCUCACGCUCUGAGGCAGUUGAGCCACCACUGAGCCACACCCCCAGGUACCAAGGUGUGGGGCAUCUCUGUUCCAAUGCUUGCCUCCCAUGUGCCAAGCCCCGAGUUCAAUCCGAGCGACUACAGAACAAAGCUGAAGUAGGACCUGGAGCCGGUAGUGUGGCUCACUUGGAAGAAUGCUUGCCCAGCGCCUCGUAAACCAGGCCCACACCUGUGGUCCCAGCACCUGGGAGAUGGAGAUGAGAUCAAGGUCAUUUUCAGCUACAGAUGAUUUUGAGUCCUGAUCCAGCAUGGGCUACCUGAGCUUCUGUGUCAAAGAGAAACAAAGAAACAAAAACUGAGGGCUCUCUUCACUCCUGGCCCCAGUGCUGGUGCUGGCUGAAGGUUCCAAGCGUCCCCACAUCUGUGUCCUCAUGGCACCUACCUGGCUCUGUGAGAUUCAAGCAUUUUUGCCAUUCAGAUGGGAAAGCAGGCACUGAGACAGAAAUGGUUUGGGGUGUCGCCCUCCCUCUAGCAGGUGGUGGAGUAGGGGGUGGGGCUCUUGACUCCCAUGACCUGCUGAGUCUUUGUUUCUGGUCUCUCCUCUCCCCAGUGAAUUUCUCAAACCUGCCAUUCUGCCUCCAGGAGAAUGUAAAAGUGUGGGUCUCACUGGUGACCUCAGAGGACCUGAGAAGGGGGAAGAGAAAGGGAGACAUAAACAGGGCUGUGAAGAGCAGGGCUUUUUCCAGACCUGACCCAGGGUGGGUCUUGUGCCUGCUGUGGUGGCUCUUGUACCCUCUGCUUAGCUUAUUUGGUGAAGGAUCAAUGCAUGUGACCAAACUCUCCAGGUUAGUGGUCACUCUAACUGUGUAGAAAGCUGGAGAAAAUCUGAGGCACAGAGGCAGACUGGCUGAAGAGAAGACAGGAAUUGGUAGCAGGCCAUACCCAGCGUCUUUAGCAGACUUCAGUCUGCCUCAAGUCUGGAAGUGCUGUGAAGACCCUCCGUGGGAUGGGGGUGCAGUGCUUCAGGGAGGGGCAGGGGGAGGAGAGGGUUGGGGGAAGAAGCAAAAUCUGAUUGACAAGUGGCCAAUGAGACCUCUGCUGGAGGAAGAUUUCUCGGGGUCACACUUCUCAGAUUGGUCAGAUUUGUAGCAGGGCCUUGGGGACAGGAUGGGAGGGAAGGGUGAUCCUUCCCUUUAGCCUGACUUUUGUUUUGAGACAAGAGUCUAGUCAAAUAAUUCUGCCUGGCCUCAAAGUCGCUAUAUGGACCAGUUUCCCUCAAACUUGCCUGCCUUCCUCAGCUUCCAGACUUCUGGGAAUAAAAGGUGUGUGCCACUAGGCCUGGCUAGAUGGAUAUGUAGUGUGUGUGUGUGUGUGUGUGUGUGUGUGUGUGUGUGUGGUACUUGUGCAUAUGUGUCCAUGUGCCUCAAACUUGCCUGCCUUCCUCAGCUUCCAGACUUCUGGGAAUAAAAGGUGUGUGCCACUAGGCCUGGCUAGAUGGAUAUGUAGUGUGUGUGUGUGUGUGUGUGUGUGUGUGUGUGUGUGUGUGUGUGUGGUACUUGUGCAUAUGUGUCCAUGUGUGCGCAGGUAUGUAUUGCAGAGGACUGUCCGGUAUUCCUAUUACCACUUUAUUUUGUAUGUUUUAAUUUUAGAAGUUUAUUUUUAUAUUAGUGUAUGUACAGAUGAUGUGUGUGAGAACAUGGGCACACGUGUGCCAUGGCACAUGUAUUGUCCUCAGCAGACAACUUUCUCCCCUUCCAGUGUGGCUUCUGGGAAUCAAAGUCACUGUUACCUACUGAGCCAUCUUGCUGACCCAACCUUAUGUUUUGUGACAGGAUCUCUCUCUAAACUCAGCAGUCAUCUGCUCACCUUGGUAGACUGUCCAGUGAGCCCCAAGAUCCACUGUCUCCACCCUGCCUGUGCGGGGCAUUAUAGACUCCCCAGCGCAGCUGGUUAUAUGGGUGUUGGGAACCCACCUCAGGCCCUCAUGCUUGCAGGACGUGAACUUUACCAGAUCCAAACCAAAGAUCUUCCAGGUUGGGAAAAUGGACCAAUCAUUGUGGUAACUCCUGUCAUUCAUUCAUUCAUCUGCAUAUCUAUGGUGCCCUGCGCUGUCUAUGGAACAUGUAGCAAGAAGAUAGCUCUUGCUCUCUCAAAGUCUUAACCUGGAGGCGAGUGGGAAGUUGUCACCCACCCAGUAGGUGUGGCAAGGUGCAGGACAGGCUCCUAGAAUCAAGGGUGCUCCCAUGGCUGUCCCCACCUGUACUCCAGAAUGUGGGGUGAGAGGGGUUUCCAGCCCCCAAGCGGGGAAGCACGACAGCAUGAUUCUAAGAG
rnacentral:lncRNA from 1 species